rnacentral:tRNA from 1 species
UGAGCUAUGGUGUAACGGUAACACAUCACCCUUUGGAGGUGGCGCUUCCGGUUCGAAUCCGGGUAGCUCAA